rnacentral:tRNA from 1 species
UGCCCGAUCGUCUAAUGGUAGGACUCUGGUUUCUGGCACCAGCUAUCGAGGUUCGAAUCCUUGUCGGGCAG